CUGCUGCCUCCCGUAGGAGUCUGGGCCGUAUCUCAGUCCCAAUGUGGCCGGCCAACCUCUCAGUCCGGCUACUGAUCGUCGCCUUGGUGGGCCGUUACCCCACCAACUAGCUAAUCAGACGCGAGGCCAUCUUUCGGCGAUAAAUCUUUGACAUUCAGACCAUGCGGCCCAAAUGUAUCAUGCGGUAUUAGCAGUCGUUUCCAACUGUUGUCCCCCUCCGAAAGGCAGGUUCCUCACGCGUUACUCACCACG
rnacentral:rRNA from 1 species